rnacentral:lncRNA from 1 species
UAAUAUGACUUCAUAUUUGUUCCAAGUUUUCGCAUGAUUUAGGUUUAAUGCAAUCUUAAUCACGGUUAAGACUUACUUAAUUAAGGGUUGAGAUGGGUUAAUUUCAUUAAACUCGUAUUGUGGGUUUGUGACCUCAUGUCAUGAGCAGCAAAAAAUAAUGAUGGUGUGCUGCCUGAGAGACGGGAAAAUGAAAUUCCCGUGGAAGUUAAGUUGAGGCAGUCUAAACGAAAAUAACGGUAAAGUAAAAGGAAUCGUGGAAGUCGCAGAGGCUUGAGCUUCCCGUUAGAAUCUCUCUCUCUCUAAGCUUACAAUUAAUCCAUAUAAAUAGAAGAGACCAACAUAAACAUAUUGCAGAGAGAGAGAGAGAGAGAGAGAGAGAGAGAGAGAGAGAGAGAGAGAGAGAGAGAGAUGUGUUUAUUUUAUGCCACAAACUUAGAACAUACAUGUAAUUAAUUGUAUUUAGAUGAAAUUGUGGCUUGUGAAUUGAGUUCCCACAAACAAGUCACUCAAUCCCUUUGCUUAAUUCCAAAACAGAGAGAUUUCUCAGAGAGACAAACAGAGCUUUCUUCUCAGCUUCAAGAAUAUAAUAACCUCUUCUUGUAAGUCUCUUCUCCAUUUCCUUUUCUCAUAUUCUUCCUUCUUUUCUUGAUGCAUGCUUUUGCUUUCAACCCCUUUUAGGCCUUGGUUUGAAAAAAGGUAUCUUUUUUUUGGCUUCAGAGAGAGCAGUCUCUUUUCAUCUUUCCCUCUCUGUUUCCUUUUCUGGGUACUUUCUUCUUCUUGCUUUUCUAUGUCAUGGCAUGUUUCCUUGUGAGUUUUUUUUUCCUGUUGCCGUGUGAUGAUUAGAUUUCUGUAGUUAUGUGUUGGAAGUUCCUUUAAAGCCUCUUUAAUUUGUUGUUUCAUAAAGGAACCUCCACUUUCCUAAAUGAUCCAUUUUGGCUGAGUUUUUAAUAUUUCCAUGCAACCUUGUGUGCUUGUGUUGAUUUCCAUUCCAUGCCUUUUCUUCUCAGUUUUCCCUUCCUCUAUCAAAGGGUAAUCCACUUUCCUAAAUCACCCAUUUAUUUUUCAGGUCUCUAGUUUUUCAUGUUUUCAACAAUUGAGUGGUGAGAGUUGUUGAAUUAUAUUUCCUAUAUUCAAAUAUGUAGCUCAACAAUUUGUUAUGUAUUAACUACAACAGGUUAUUGUUUUCCAGGGGGUUUCUAUCAAACACUGUGAACUCCUUUGGUUGUAGAGAUUUUGAGGAUGGGGGAACACUUUGUAUUGUUGGUGGAUCGAUUAAUCACCGAAUCCACGUUAGAAGCUGCAAUUGAGAGCAGGAACCGGUCGAUGCAAGCCACAUCCUCAGCAAUCGACAAAGCGAAAAUUGAUGGCUGUUGCCAGAAAAUAAUAGAUGUUAAGGAUAUAUCACCCUUAACUGGGAAGCUAGUAGAAUGCAGAAUAUGCCAAGACGAGGAUCAAGAUUCAAACAUGGAGACACCCUGCUCUUGCUGUGGCAGCUUAAAGGUUAGUUUUCAAAUGUUUAUGGCUGUUUGUACAUCUAAUUUUGGUUCUAAGCUUAAUGACUUUUAGAAAUUAGAAAAACAAUUUAAAAAAAUAAUAAUGACUUUGCUGUGUUCCAUGGCCUAAAAAUGAAAAUUUGGUUCUUGAUGUUGCAGUAUGCGCACCGCAGAUGUGUACAGAGGUGGUGCAAUGAGAAAGGUGACACAGUGUGUGAGAUAUGCCACCAGGUGGGUUCAUUAAUCUGGUUUUCUAAUUCCAUUUUCCUUCCAAAUUAGUAAUUUUAUUUGACCAUCUGGAAAAUAACCUUGCAUCAGACUUAAUAGCCUUCACUGACAUUACGUUCUUUUAACUUUCAGCAAUUCAAACCUGGUUAUACAGCUCCUCCUCCACUGUUUCAAUUCGGGCGUAUACCAAUGAACUUCAGGUAAAUAAAUUAUAUAAUAAUCUCUGUGCAGUAGGGCUCAUAAGCAGCUUUCUUUGUGAUUAAAUUUCUGGUUUUACCAAACCUUGUUUCAAAAAUCUGUAAUGACAGGGGAAACUGGGAGAUUUCGCAAAGGGACAGCCCGCGCAUUAUAGCAAUGGUUUCGACUGACCGUGCUUUCCUGAAUACUAAUCCUGACUACGAUGAGUAUUCAGCUUCUACUGCAAGAAAUGUGUUAUGCUGUCGUUCACUCGCUUUCAUCGUAAUCUCUCUCUCUCUCUCACUCUCCCUCAGAAAUUCUACAUGUUCUUGUCUUGGUGAUCAUAUCUGAACAAAUUUAUUAAGGUAGUUCGUUUCUUGUGUGCAGUUCAUGGUCCUGCUGAUUCUACGGCAUACGCUUCCUCUCAUAAUCAAUGGAAACAAAGAAUACUCUUUCCCACUCGUUAUGGUAAACCUUUUCAUGGCUUAGUUUCUACUCUAUAAUUCUUCUCAUCAAGACCUUAUCAGUAAGGUGAAGCUGCAACAUCUGAAUCUUGUGUGUUUGUGUGUAGUUGUUGCUUUUACGAACUCUUGGGAUUGUGCUGCCAAUAUAUGUAAUUGUGAGGGCAGUAACUGCUAUUCAGCGCCGCCGAGGCCAUCAAGUAAGUAUGCAUGUUUCCUUAAUCCCUUCCUAAAUAAGUACGUGUUUAAUGAUCAUAUUAAUUCUCAUCUGAUCUUUUAAGUAUAAUGCUGAGCUAAUUCAUCUCUCUCACUCUCUGCAUAUGUUAAAUAGGAACUUUCCACUUCCUCUGAUGAAGAAACAGAACCUUCAAUCCUUCAGCCUGAGCUUGAGCCCCAACCCCAUGUCAUUCGUGUUCACUAAAUUCAACAAUGGAAGUUUGGUCUCAUCAGCUCUUUGUUGGUAUAGUGGAAACUGUUGUAAAAUUGUGAGUUUCCAUAUUGUGGGCGUGUCUCGUCAUCGUAUGUACAGUUAGGGAAGUAUCCUACAGUAUAUAUACAUACAUAGAGAAAUUAUACUGAGAAAAAUAUCCAGUCAAGCAACCAGAGCUGACACAAAUGUAUGCCAAAAUGUAGAUAAUAAUACUCUAAUAGUUGCAUCAUUUAAUGAGUCGAUAUGCCUAAACCGGC